rnacentral:rRNA from 1 species
GAUGAACGCUAGCGGAAGGCUUAAUACAUGCAAGUCGAGCGGUAGGUGGCUUCGGCCAUUGAGAGCGGCGCACGGGUGAGUAACGCGUACAUGACCUGCCUGUCAGAAGGGGAUAGCCCUGGGAAACUGGGAUUAAUACCCUAUGGUAUUGAUAUUAUGAAUGAUAUCAAUUAAAGUUGAGGCGCUGACAGAUGGAUGUGCGUCUGAUUAGCUAGUUGGUAGGGUAACGGCCUACCAAGGCGACGAUCAGUAGGGGGCGUGAGAGCGUGGUCCCCCACACGGGUACUGAGACACGGACCCGACUCCUACGGGAGGCAGCAGUAAGGAAUAUUGGUCAAUGCCCGCAAGGGUGAACCAGCCAUUCCGCGGGGAGGAUGAAGGCCCUAUGGGUUGUAAACUUCUUUUAGAUGGGAAGAAAAUGCUAGAUGUAUCUGGUACUGACGGUACCAUCAGAAUAAGCACCGGCUAACUCCGUGCCAGCAGCCGCCGUAA